CCUGUGGAGUGUUAGAUCAAACUGUAGUAGCGAGUGGUUGGCAAGGCAGGACACGUAGAAGCAGGAA
rnacentral:ncRNA from 1 species